CCUUCAUGAAGCUGGAAUUGCUGUAAUGGCAGGUCAGCAUACUGCCGUGAAUACGUUCCCGGGCCUUCGUACACACCGCCCGUCACACCAUGAGAGUUGGAAAUACCCGAAGCCUGUGAGCUAACAGUAAUGAGGCAGCAGUCGAAGGUAGAGCCAAUGAUUGGGGUGAAGUCGUAACAAGGUAUC
rnacentral:rRNA from 1 species